CAGUCGCCACGGUAAUACGAGGGGGGCAAGCGUUGUUCGGAAUUAUUGGGCGUAAAGGGUACGUAGGCGGUUUGGCAAGUUUGGUGUGAAAUCUUCGGGCUCAACUCGAAGUCUGCAUCGAAAACUGCCGGGAUUGAGUAUGGGAGAGGUGAGUGGAAUUUCCGGUGUAGCGGUGAAAUGCGUAGAUAUCGGAAGGAACACCUGUGGCGAAAGCGGCUCACUGGACCAUAACUGACGCUGAUGCACGAAAGCUAGGGGAGCAAACAGGAUUAGAUACCCGAGUAGUCCCUGUCUCUUAUAC
rnacentral:rRNA from 1 species